rfam:Pterocles gutturalis contig8966, whole genome shotgun sequence.
UGCAAGGCUAUUUUUAUAGCCAUCUAUUUUAUAUGUAACAAGAUGG